rnacentral:rRNA from 1 species
GUAAUCGCGAGUCAGCAUAUCGCGGUGAAUACGUUCCCGGGUCUUGUACACACCGCCCGUCACACCAUGGGAGUUGGCAACACCCGAAGUCGAUGAGCUAACCUUUUAGGAGGCAGUCGCCUAAGGUGGGGUUGAUAACUGGGGUGAAGUCGUAACAAGGUAUC